UACGAAGGGUGCAAACGUUAUUCGGAAUCACUGGGCGUAAAGGGUGCGUAGACGGUAUGUCAAGUUCGUUGUUAAAGGCUCCAGCCUAACUGGAGUACCGCAAUGAAAACUGGCAAGCUAGAGGGUGAGAGAGAGAAGUGGAAUUCCCGGAGUAGCGGUAAAAUGCGUGGAUCUCGGGAGGAACACCAAUGGCGAAGGCAGC
rnacentral:rRNA from 1 species